CUGGCUGAAGUCGGACGCUUAACCGACUGCGCCACCCAGGCGCCCCUAGUAUUCUUUAUUUAAAAAUGCAGAUUGUAACACUAUUACUAUUCUGUUGUUUCCACUUAAUGAUGUACCUUGGAGACUGAGCCACAUUUAUAUAGCAGAGUGCUUCCUUAUGCUUGCACAAUAUCGUAACUAAUGCCUUUGGAUAGAUCUACAGGAUUGCUUUGCUGCUAGAAGCAAUACUGAAAUGAUUAACCCUGAAUGAAAGUCCUUUCCCACAUAUACAAGUUUAUUUACAGGAAAAUUCCUGAUGGUGGAAUUGGUGGGUCAGAUUAUAUGUAUAUUUGUAGUUUUUAUCAUUUGUCACAUUGCUGCCUGUAGAGUGUGUAGGCACCAUAUAGUAAACACUGUUCACCUUGCUCUUAAGUGUGAUUGAGGAUGUUUUCAGUUGUUUAAGAGCAGUUUUCACUUCCUCUUUUAUGAACAGUCUGUUCAUAGACUUUGCCGCUUUUCCAACUGAGUUGGAUACUUUUAUAAUAGUUUGUAGGAGUACUUUAGCAUUUUGGAAGUAAUCCUUUUGUCUGUAAUAUAAAUUACCAAUAUUUCCCCCCAAUAUAUUUGUCUUUUAAUUUUGAAAACGCUUGGGUUUUUGUUAAAAUUUAAAAAAAGAAUUAAGUUCAUUUUAAGACGAGGGGAGGGGCAGAGAGAGAG